rnacentral:rRNA from 1 species
UAGCGUAGGGUGCGAGCGUUUGUUCCGGAAUUAUUGGGCGUAAAGAGCUCGUAGGCGGUCUGUCGCGUCGAUCGUGAAAACUUGGGGCUUAACCCUGAGCUUGCGGUCGAUACGGGCAUGACUGGAGUUCGGCAGGGGAGACUGGAAUUCCUGGUGUAGCGGUGAAAUGCGCAGAUAUCAGGAGGAACACCGGUGGCGAAGGCGGUUCUCUGGGCAUGUUCUGACGCUGAGGAGCGAAAGUGUGGGGAGCGAACAGG